rnacentral:rRNA from 1 species
GGGCCCGCACAAGCGGCGGAGCAUGCGGAUUAAUUCGAUGCAACGCGAAGAACCUUACCAGGGUUUGACAUCCUGCGAAUCUCUUGGAAACAGGAGAGUGCCUUCGGGAACGCAGUGACAGGUGGUGCAUGGCUGUCGUCAGCUCGUGUCGUGAGAUGUUGGGUUAAGUCCCGCAACGAGCGCAACCCACGUCUUUAGUUGCCAGCAUUUAGUUGGGCACUCUAGAGAGACCGCCGGUGAUAAACCGGAGGAAGGUGUGGAUGACGUCAAGUCAUCAUGCCCCUUACAUCCUGGGCUACACACGUACUACAAUGCUACGGACAAAGGGCAGCAAACUCGCGAGAGCUAGCAAAUCCCAUAAACCGUGGCUCAGUUCAGAUCGUAGGCUGCAACUCGCCUACGUGAAGGAGGAAUCGCUAG